GCCGGUGUAGCUCAGUCGGUAGAGCAGCGCACUCGUAACGCGAAGGUCGUAGGUUCGAUUCCUAUCCCCGGCACCA
rnacentral:tRNA from 17 species